rnacentral:rRNA from 1 species
UGCUUGUUUGAGUAUCAGUAAACACCUCAAAGCUUUUGGAUUUUUUUUGAAAGUUUUGGACUUGAGCAAUCCCAACACCAAUCUUUUUCAGAUCGGUGGCGGGUUGCUUGAAAUGCAGGUGCAGCUGGACAUUCUCCUGAGCUAAAAGCAUAUUCAUUUAGUCCCGUCAAACGGAUUAUUACUUUUGCUGCAGCUAACAUAAAGGGAGUUUGACCGUAUUGGCUGACUGAUGCAGGAUUUCACAAGGGUCGGCAACGAUUCUUGUUAAACUCGAUCUCAAAUCAAGUAAGACUACCCGCUGAACUUAA